UACGGAGGAUGCAAGCGUUAUCCGGGAUCAUUGGGCGUAAAGGGUCCUGAGGUGGUUUGCUAAGUCUACUGUGAAAGAUCAGGGCUCAACCCUGAAGAUGCGGUGGAAACUGGCAGGCUAGAAUACGGUAGGGGCAGGGGGAAUUCCCGGUGUAGCGGUGAAAUGCAUAGAUAUCGGGAAGAACACCACAGGCGAAGGCACCCUGCUGGGCCGAUAUUGACACUGACAGACGAAAGCUAGGGGAGCAAAUGGG
rnacentral:rRNA from 1 species